rnacentral:rRNA from 1 species
ACUCAAAUGAAUUGACGGGGGCCCGCACAAGCGGUGGAGCAUGUGGUUUAAUUCGAUGCAACGCGAAGAACCUUACCUACCCUUGACAUCCUAGGAAUUUUACAGAGAUGUAGAAGUGCCGAAAGGAACCUAGAGACAGGUGCUGCAUGGCUGUCGUCAGCUCGUGUUGUGAGAUGUUGGGUUAAGUCCCGUAACGAGCGCAACCCUUAUUGUUAGUUGCUAACCACGCAAGUGGAGCACUCUAAUGAGACUGCCGGUGGUGAACCGGAGGAAGGUGGGGACGACGUCAAGUCAUCAUGGCCUUUAUGGGUAGGGCUACACACGUGCUACAAUGGGCGGUACAGAGGGAAGCGAAGCGGCGACGUGGAGCGAAUCCUUGAAAGCCGUUCUAAGUCCAGAUCGGAGUCUGCAACUCGACUCCGUGAAGUCGGAAUCGCUAGUAAUCGCGAAUCAGCAUGUCGCGGUGAAUACGUUCCCGGGCCUUGUACACACCGCCCGU